rnacentral:lncRNA from 1 species
AAACUACAAAAUAAGAAGAAAUUUGCUCUGAAGACUAUGAAGAAACACUAGGCUGAUCUUACCAAUUUCUGAAAUACACUCUGUAAAUCCCCACUGAUUCAAUGGAUCUCUCUCAAAAAGAACCAAACCAGGACAAAGUUCAACAGAUGACUGGUCAACGUUUAGAAGUGUAUGUCCACCAAGAACAAGGAACCAUAAACAGCACUAAUGCCAUGCCUCAGGUAAAUGUUAUAAAGUUUAGUCUUUGAUAUUCUCUGCAAACAAUCUACCACUGCUCUCCAUCAGUAAGCUGAAAGUUUUACUAAAAAAUGGGAAAAUAAAACAUUUCAUGUUUUUACAGCUAACAACUUAGUAAUACCUACUCAGAGUACAUACUUCUUUAUGUACCCAUAUGAACAUACAAUGCUAUGGAAUGUAAAGAAGUAUGUAUUUUUGGUAGGCAAUAAACCACCAAGAGGAAACUAGACUGCAGCUAUGUCAAUGACCUUCGUAUGUUAAAUUAACCUAUCAAAGAGAUGACCUUUGGCAUUACUAACACCAGAAAAUGUACCUAUUUCUUUCAGAUGGAAACUAAAUGUUGCUGAUUUAUAUUUCAUGAGGAAAAAAGUUCUUCUGAAGUAGAUUUAAAAUUAACAUGGAAUUCCUUUUAAAUCCUUUAAGUUUAAAGCAUAAGACAUUCUACAUUUUUAAAUUAAGUACUCACAUGAUUAAAAUUUGAAUACAAAAGAGAAAACAGCGAUACUAGUACAAAAAAAUGAUACACAUGACCCAUUUUCUGUCUCCACAAUUUAAUUUUAAUUUAAAUGUAUCAUAUUAGAAGGGCUGACAUUUAACAAAAGCUGACUUCAUUUGCAUUUCAACAGCUAUUCUUUAUGAAGAAUAAGUAUAAUUAACAAUGUAAUUAUAAUUUAACAAUAUUGUAAGAAUUCCUGAGCAAGUUUUGGUGUUUUAAGUUUUCUUUCUCAAAGCUACAGACAUAGUUAUAAUUUUAAAAGACUAUCUUUCAAGUAAAAUUCUACUCUCAAAGAAAAAAAAGUGGUCCCUGUCCUUCUCCCUAAUCCAGUUUCCACUUUCAAUGCUAUGUAAGUACUUAGUUUAAAUCAAGACAUACAAUUUAUUCAAGAAAAAUGAUAAAAUUCUGGGAAAUAGGUAUAAAUCAAUAGGGCACACUGGCCACAGACUGCC